GUUGUCCCGGCCGGCUGCUUCCGAUGCCCUCAAGAAAGGUUCCGGGCAAAGUCCGACGGAUGUAGGAAAGCGGGAAAGGUCGGCUGUGGUGCACGGAUGUGGAGCGGAGCUAUAGUCCCCAAGGCGCGUGGUCGUUUGUGAUAAUUUAAGUGAAGAAUAAUAUGAUCGAAUUGAUGUUUGAGAAGGAAAACGAGGAUAUCGUGGAGUAAGAUUGAUUCGAGAAGUGGAAAGCAGGUACAAAGAGUGUGGCACCCUUGCUUGAGUUCCUCGUCACAUGUGGCCAGGAAGGGGCUGCGAGCCAAGACAGCUAAGAGAUGGGCCUGAGGCCUGUGCUGAGCCCAGUGAGGACAUUCUUCCCGUCACCUCAUGAGGGAGUGAAGCCCUUGGUAGUCGCCUGGAGAUCUACCACGGAUCCUAUCCACUGAUUCUCUGUGCGCCUGUGAUAUCCUUCCAAUACCUAUUUCCUUUCCCUUGAAUUAGCCAUUUCAUUCGCUUUUUCUUUUUCUUUUUUGUCUGUUUAAUAUUUAUUUGAUUUUGAGAGAGCACAAGCGGGGGAGGGGCAGAGAGAAGGGGACAGAGGAUCCAAAGUGGGCUGUGCCACUGACAGGCUGACAGCAGCGAGCCCGACGUGAGGCUCAAACUCACAAGCCACGAAAUUAUGACCUGAGCUGAAGUCGGACGCUCACUCAACUGACAGAGCCACCCAGGUGCUCGUCAUUCACUUUCUUAAAUUGCAAGAAAAACAUGUUCACACAAUAACAGAAAUGCAAUACACUAAAGCUGGAGUUCUCUCCCUAGGAAAACCACUGUUAUCAGUUUGAUAUGUGUAUGUAUCCUCACAAAUUUUUUCUGUGCAUAUAGAGACAGAGAUGGACUAGAUCUCUAUUUAAUUUGGGAUUAUGGGAGACAGAAGGCAUUUUUACCAAAAAUAGGGAGUCAUACGAAGUUACUCUUUUUUUUUUAACUUGUUUUAAUGUGUAUUUGUUUUUGAGAGAGACAGAGACAGAGCACAGGCGGGGGAGGGGCAGAGAGAGAGAGAGAGAGGGAGACACAGAAUCUGAAGCGGGCUCCAGGCUCCGAGCCGUCAGCACAGAGCCCGACACGGGGCUCAAACUCAUGGAUCACGAGAUCGUGACCUGAGCCAAAGUCAGACACUUAACCGACUGAGCUACCCAGGCCCCUCAAGGAUGCACAUCUUUUUCAAAAUGUAUUAGCCCAGGCACCUGGGUGGCUCAGUCGGUUGUGUCCAACUUCGGCUCAGGUCAGGAUCUCACGGUUUGUGAGUUCAAGCCCCGUGUCAGGCUCUGUGUUGACAGCUCAGAGCCUGCUUUGGAUCCUCUGUCUCCCUUUCUCUCUACCCCUCCCCUCCCCUCUCUCCCUCUCUCUCAAAAAUAAACACACACACACAAAAUAAAUUUUUAAAUGACAGUAAUAACAAAUGCAUUAGUCGAUUUGCUUGUAGAGUUUUUUAUUUCUUGAUUUCUUCAUGUAUUAGAAAUAUGAACAUUUUACGGGUACCCGGGUGGCUUGCUCAGUUAAGCAUCCAACUAUUGAUUUUGGCUUAGAUCAUCUCACAGUUGUGAGAUCAAGCUCCACAUCAGGCUAUGCACUGAGUGUAGAGCCUGCUUAAGAUUCUCUCUCGCCCUGUCCCUCUGCCCCUCCCCUGUGCAUUCUCAAAAAAAAAAAAAAAAUGAACAUAAUGAUUAUCAGUUAUAUACUGCAAUCAUUCUCUCCAAAUUAGUGAUUUAUCUUAAAUUUUGAUUUUGGUGUCUUUGGCUGCAUAUACAUUCUUUAUAAUUUCUAUGUUUUUUCUUUAUGGCUGCUAGUUUCCUGAUCACACUCAAGAAAGUUCUCCCUGCCCCCAAACUAUACAUGAACAUAUUUAUAUGCAUUUUCCCCCAGAGGCACCAUGGUGUAGUGGUUAGUUGUAGAAGGAGAAAUUCUGUAGCUGGACCUUAGGUCCAAAUCCCAGCUCUGGCAUUUAUCAGUUGCAUAACCCUGGUUAAUCUCUCUGUGCCUUAAUUUUCUCAUUAGUAAAAUGGGGUUGUGGUGGUGGGGAUUAAGUGAGUUUAUAUAUGUAAAGCAUUUAGAAUAGUGCCUAGCAUAUAGAAAUACUUGUUCCUUUAUAGUUUUCUUUUUUUUACAUUUAGAUCUUUUUUUCUUUUGCGUGUUUUUUUUUUUUUUUUCUCAAGUGGAUAGCCAGUUUUAUAAAAUAGUCUGGUUUUCCACUGAUUUGAAAUGCUACCUUUAGGGUAUAGUGAGGAACAGCCCAUCCCUAGGAGGGCCCUAAAAGGCCUCAACCAGUUCAGAGCCAAUCAUAACUGCACUUGAAAGGAGGUUGUUCAGUUAUUACUUUGUGGACUCCUUGGGAUCCUGCUGAAAGCAGAAAUUGUGAAAUCGAAUUUAACAAUGUUCAGAAACUUGGCGGCCCCUCCCUCCCCUCUGAACUCCACCCAAACACAGGGCCAGGAAGGCCACCCCAGUAGCCCUACUCAAGGGAAAAAGCCUGAGGAGGGACGUGUUGUUGGGAAACCACGCCCACUCUAAAAAUGCGCAAAACACAAGCUGUUUUCUGCAGCGUAAUCAUGGCAAGAGAAAAAGUGAAGCAAACUCAGUCGUGCUGAACUUUAUACUAGAACAGAGAGUAUGUACAUAUAAGAUGGGAGGCAUUUACUGUGAGGGUGGCUGGAGCUAGUGGAAAGUUUCUUCAGCCUAAGAGGCUCAUCCGCAUGAAACGUCUACUGUGUAGGGCCUGGCUGAGAACCAUCCAGAUUGAACUUCAGCUCCAACCCUGGCACCCAGAGUCCAUCACAAACACGUCAACUGUAUUUUAGGGUGUGCUGCCACCUCCUGGCCAAACUCGUGUUGCUGUCACAUCACAGGCAGUUGUAGCAAAAAGUGACGCAGCCACACAAGUGCAAUCCGGUAACCCCAAACCCCACCAAACACACCCGCAAGCUGCUGGCUGACAUUCCGUGGUGACUACAGGUGGUGCCACUCAGCUGCUAGGGGUCUAUGAUGGGGCGUAUUGGGCAAGCAGAUCUGAACAGUGGGGUGAGCCUAAAUAAAAAAUUCAAAUAUCCUGGGGUGCCUGGGUGGGGGUGGGGGGGUGUUCAGUCGGUUGAGCACCCGACUCUUGGUUUCGGCUCAGGCCAUGAUCUCACAGUUCAUGGGUUCAAGUCCCACAUUAGGCUAUGCACUGGCAGCGUGGAGCCUACUUGGGAUUUUCCCUCUCUCUCUCUCUCUCUCUCGCUCUCGCUCUCACUCUUUCUCUGCCCCUCCCACACUCUCUCUCUCCCUCUUGCUCUCUCUCAAAUAAACUUAAAAAAUUUUUUUAACCUUUUAAAAAGAAAAUUCAAAUAUUCCAAAUGCAGAAACACCAGUAUAUAGAUUCCGUUCUCUCACAGUGAAAUAAAGAGGAGCCAGGCCCAUGCCUGGGCUCAGCGCUCUGCAAGUUCAUGCUGAAAAGCUGGAGAAAAGGCUGUGAAUCCAGGAAGAGGCUCUGAAAAGUGAAUUGCUAUCACUCGACUUCGCCCGCAUCUUCUCUGCUGUCCUACCUCCCAUCCGCCUGCCCCGCCCUCUGGUAGCCAUAAGGCCAGGCACCCAGAAGUCCAGAGCAACAUGCCUGGGGCAGUAAGACUUUCCAUCGCUCUCUAAGGCACACCGAAAGGCCUCUGACUGCCGAGGUCCCAGUGGAAACGGAAGGAAUAGGGGGCGUCUUCCUAACCUGGGGAGGGAAGGGAAAACAAAGCCAAGGAGAUGUCAACUAAAAUGUGAAUGUGAUCUUUAUUAUACAGCACAUGUGGUAUCUGUACAUCCCAACAAGUAUACAGGAUACUCUAUAAAACCAAACCUGACCACUCCAAGUUACACUGGACGAAGAUUUAACCCAAAGUCACGUCUUGUAAAAACACAACGCGGUCCUGUGUGCCAUGUUCCGGAUCGAGGCAGCACAAGAAGGGAGAGGAGAAGGACUGGGUUUGGGCCAACGUAACAUCCUCUGGUUAUUGCACUUUCAUUCUACACACUCAGUACGUUAUGCUUUUAUUAACACUGUACUAGACAUUAGUCCUUUUGAAACAAAUAAAAAUAUUACAUAAAGGUAAAAGACAACAAGCCAUCCAGACCAAUUUUCUUUUCAACCCUCCGAGUCAGGUGGCCUCCCCCAACUCCAGGUAUUCACAUGGUCUCUACGCUCCUCUCAACUGGACUGGAUGUUAACAAAGCAGAUGUAGUUAAACAUAAAACCCUUUUAAGAACAGUAGUGCUACUUGCAACCCCCAAAGGAGAGUGCGAUACAAGUUUCUGAAGGUUACCCCCCCUCCCCCCCUUAUCCACUUUGCCGCAGCACUGGCCCUAACCACUCCCCCCGGAGUUAGAAGGAGCAAUCCACUUUUUUGUUGUUGUUUUAAAGAAAAAGUAGGUUACUUGAUCCAGCAAAUCCAAAAAUCAAGCUUUGAAAACUCAAAGAAGCAACUAGUCUUUUGGCAAAGGACUCGUCAAGGGCCAUUUAUCCCGCUCUGAAGCAGUAUGGACCCUGGCUGGAGUCUCCCUAGUUAGCCAGAUGGGAGACCAGGCGUGCCUUCUCUCCAGAGCAAGGCCAGAGGGAAUCUCUACUCCCCAUGGGCUACUGUCAUCACCGAUCCCUCCUGGCUUCUCAGUGCUAAAUAAUAAGCCAAUAACAAUAAUAAUAAUAAUAAUAAUAAUAAUAAUAAUAAAGUGUCAUGCAGUGCAGUUAUCACUUUGGAGCCCUGCCACGCCAACCUCUUCUCUCAUCAGGGAAAGACUUCUGGCCCCUCUUUGGCAGCUCAGGUAAAGAUGCAUCCAGAUGCUGACAGGGACUGGCGGAGAGUUCUACCGUUCCCGUUUCCAUCUGUCGUAGUUAAUAAUAGCCUUUCCUUCAACGUUUCCCUGAACUUUAGUGUUAAAAAAUCAGGAGAAGCUGCUGUCUGGGCUCUGUUCCCUUGAAACUGAUGGAGUCACAAGUGAUUCUCUUUGGUCCGGAAAGAACCAACACUGCCCGCUUUCCCAGAGAAGUGGAAGGCUCGCUCAACCCGCGAGCCGCGUGCCUGUGGAAACCUCACCCAGGCGAGCAUUCCUCAAGUCAUGCCAGACUGCCCUCGCUGCCAGCUCCCUGGGCACAGUGUCAGCCACUCCGGGGCUCCGGGCUUCAUCUAUUUUUCUGAUUGCUCUGCAAGAAGGUCCCUCACUCGGUUCUGAAGUCACGUAAGGGACCGGACUUCAAGCACAUUAAAAAUGGCCAGGUGAUCAUUUUCGGGCUGGGGUAAACCGCCCUGAUGAAGUGAUUAGAAGGACAGAACACAGUGAGGGUCAUUCUUCCAUCCCGUCCUUCCUCCUCCCCAGCCACAAUCUCACCUCACCGCUCGGGAGCACAUACAACCAAAUCUAGGAGGGAAAACCUUUAGGACUUUGGUCUUGUCGAGCCCUCUAUAGCCCAAGUGCCCCCCAGACUUCUUUGAAUACCUAGUGUCUUCCCAAGUAAUAUACAGUACAGUACAUUUCAUGGCAUCCCAUCACCGUAGUAACAACGGGUGCCAAGGAACAAAGGAUCCGAAAUUAGCGGACAAUGUUAUAAAACAAAAGCAAAGUAUGCAGCGUGUUAUAUAUAUGCACUCCUGCACUCAGCCUGCUGAGUGUUUAAAUAACACCUCCAAAUAUCUAUAUGUGGACUUUGGCUGGCCUGGAGAUUUUCAGGAAUAUUUUGCACCUUUCCUCAGAAUACUUUUUUUUUUUUUUUUAAUGAAUUGUUAACACAACUACCGUCUUACUUAGCACUGGUCCCUCCCAUCCUCCUUCCUCCUCACUCAGGCAAAAAAUCUGCUAGGAAACUGGUGUCUGAGAGCUGACAAGGGACACUGGGUGGAGGACAAGCGACCCUUCCUCCCCGUGAAUGGGGGUGGGAACUAAGACUUCGGAAGAAUGUUAGGAAUGGGACUUCAGCACAGAAGCACAGAUUCCUGAUCCCAGCUAGAGUAAAGGAAGACCGGCUGCAAAAGGGAAGCACAGAAAUCCUUUAUGAAAUCUCAUACAGAACAGACACUGAGACUGUUUUUCCGGCAGGUAGACACUACUCACCUCUCCUUUUUAAACUUGAAAUCUGGCUUCCUGGAAGCCCCAUCAUUGUUUCCAGAAGGACAAACGGGUUAACGUGACAAGAAGAGAGUGAUGAUUUGAAGAAGUAAAGCUAUAAAUAGGUGUUAAGAGACCUACCGAACAUUCUACCAACACAAGGCUGGCGCUCACAGAACCCAAAGAUACUGGGUGUCUCACUUUAUCAUUUGCAAGUAGGAAAGUUUUUAGCACUAUGUGGAGUUUCUGAAGGGCUCCAAGUGCUUAGAGGGUUACUGUGCUCAAACGUAUCAUAAUCCGAGCUCGGGAUAGCCAAAGAGUUAAAACUGAACUUUAGACUCCAUUUCUACUCCGUUAAUGUUUAAGAGAUGGUCAUUCUCUCGGAAACAACCCUACAAAUUUCCAGCAGCAAGUCCGCCCAUCUUCUUACACAUCUACUCAGGGACCUGCUUCACAGAGCUGGAGGUCAGGCACAAGGGACAGACCACAGUGCUUGGGGACUAGGCAGAUGCGACAGAGGCUCCUCACCUCCACUGCCUCUUCCCUCACCUGCCUGGUUUUUUAAAUCUAGAGGACCAUUUUGGUGGAGAGAGGCUCGAAGUCAAGAUCUGAGAGGCACCGAUAUUUAAACUGUUCCCCUUCAGAAUUUCUUACUGUGUACAUCUCCUGACAAAUGCUCACACUGUGUGUGUCCCAACUGCAAGGGAGGGGAACCGCCCCAGAGGCUAACACACAGGGCGAGGAGCACACACAGAGCUACAAAGAGCAUUCUUCUUUUUCAUCUGGUGCUUGUCUUCUUGCCUUGUAUUCAAAACAAGGUAAAAAGAAGGGACGAAUUGUGAAAGAGAUCUCGGUGAAAAAUCUCACUGACCCAAGUUUAAAAACAUCAGUGUGUUAGGUUCAAACACAAAAACGAGAGUUUUUGAUUCUUUUAAGUUUUAGAAACAAUGUGGUAUCUUUCUAGUAGGUUUGCGUGGAAGCUCACGGCCUCCAGAUCACUGCCCCUUCUCAGGUCUCACCAGAUACUCCACAUGGGUCAAUGUUACUCAGACACUCAUCCCCAGGUACCAUGUUAAAUGGACCUUCCCCAUGUUGAAACCCAAAGGGUGGGGGGUAAACGUCAAGAAUGAAGGGAAGAAAAAGAGAUUGGGUCCUGGGGUUGCCAGUAACUCAAAAUCCAAUCGCAUAUGUAUAUAUACACAUAUGCACACACACACAUUUUUUUGCCUUUAUGCGGCCUCUUGGUGAUGUAACCCAUGAAAGCUCCCCCAGAAGUCAGGGAUAUUCGGUCCCAUCAAUGUAAACACGCUGGCACCAUAAGGAGCAGACAGCUCCGUUUCUAGCUCCCUCACCGGGGCCUCAGGCUGCUGCGACCUGAGGUCUCCGGCUGCAGGUAGCGGGAAGUUAUUUUUUUGUUCCGAUGUUCUUACAAUCCCAGAACUAAGUUCAUAUUUUCCAGGGGUCCUGACGACUGGAUAGAACCAGACUAUUCCUAGCUAGAGCCGAAAUUACAAAAAUUCUAAUUUUUAGUACUAUCACCACCGCAGUGCCCCACUUGUCUUAGCAACAUACAGUGAGCAGACGAUGGUGACAUUUGCCUCCUUUUCAGUUCUGGGGCUGGAACGUUGCAUUCUUCAGUGUUUACGUGUCCCACACGAUCUUGUGCGGACGGGAUAGUGUGGGGCAUCGGCGAGCCGCUGAACGCACCCUGACGACCAGCGAGCUCCUCGCUACCUGGCAGGCGCCUCUGCCUGGGAAGGUCUCAAGUUGCCCAGUGGGCAUCAGUUCCCUCAGGAGCUCUCUGAAUAAACGUCCAAUUCUUCCCACGGCCAACAGGUGAGGGGAAGGAAAGAAACAGAGUAAAAGAGAAAGGUCUUUGCUUUCAAGUAGAGUCAUCCAGUCCCCGGUUCGGCUGCUCCGAAGCGGACGCGCACAGCCGGUCCAUGAUGCCCCGGAGCAUGGGCUGCACGAUGCCCAGGAGGGGCCUCUGGGAAGGGUCGCCGUCCCAGCAGGCCUCCAUCAGCUGCCAGCACUCCUCAUCGAACACAGGCAGACGCUCCGGCCGGGCCCCUGGAGACAGGCGCGUGGAAAGAAGACCAGAGUCAGCGACAGGGCCGGUGCCACCACGAGGCCUGACCGGCUCGCAGACCGAUGGCCCAUGUGGGGCUCAGGAGUUCUGGCUUCGACUGCAGACACCUAGGUUAGAACCUGACAGUAACGGUGACAGAACACUGGAACGCACUGGCAUAGGAAGUAGAAGAAUUGGAAAUUUUAAAGAAAAAAAGCCUUGACACGGUUGAGCGCAAUGCUACCUGAAAGCAAAGGGGCGACCUUGGUGUCUUCCCUGGAUUCCCUGACGGUACGUGGCCCUGCGGUGUGACGGCCGGAGCGGGUGACAGGAGGCCCGGCUGCAGGGCCUGGUCUCAGUCUCCCCUUGAUGGGGGCCGGGGCGGGGUCGGGACAGGGUAGGGCUUGUGGCUCUUACCUCUUCGCACAUUGUUCCAGAGAUGGUCUUUGCUGGCACACCUCUCAAAUGCUUCAGGGAGCUUGACAGAGCCCGAGCAGAUAUACCAGAAGAGGAUGCCAAAGGCAUAGACAUCGACGGAGUUGUCGUAUUUCCCUACAGCAAGAAAGGGUGACGGCAGUGAGCCGGGGCGAGAGAUCAGCUGUGCCCCUAUAACUGGGUCUGCAGAGGUCGUCACGCCUUUUUGUCUAAAGCUUUUAACAGCCAUGAUCUCCCACAGCAACCCUGGUAGGCAGGACCGCUGACAACGCCCAUCUUCUACCCAAAACCACAGCACAGGAAGGGUGAUGUGAGACACCAGGAUGGCCAAGACCAGAGCCUGACAGAGGAGAAGGAGGACAGGCCUCUGAUUUUGAUUGAACAGCCAAGAAGACCCAUCCUGACGGGUCGGAUUGGGGAAAUAAGCUUGGGAAACACAGGUGGGUGAGCAGAUUGGAACCAGAAUGUAAAAAUUUUUAAAUUUUUUAAAAAUAAUUAAUUUAUUUUUGAGGGGGGGUGGUGGGGAGGGGCAGAGAGAGAGACGGAGUCCCAAGCAGGCAUGCAGGAGCCUGAUGCGGGGGCUCAAACUCACGAACUGUGAGAUCAUAACCUGAGCUGAAAUCAAGAGAGUCAGGACGCUUAACCAACUGAGCCGCCCAGGCGCCCUUAGAACGUAAAGAUUUUUUUAGUUUAUUUUUUUCUUUCUCAGAGAGAGAGAGAGAAGGGAGAGGAGCAGAGAAAGAGAGAGAGAGAGCGAGAGAGAGAGAGAAUCCCAAGCAGGCUCUGCACUGUCAGCACAGAGCCCAAUGUAGGGCUCGAACUCAUGAGAUCAUGACCUGAGCCUAAAUCAAGAAUUGGACACGUAACCGACUAAGCCACCCAGGCACCUCAGAAUAUAAAGAUUUUUAAAAGACAGAAAAGUCUGGAUUCAAUGGGCAGCAUGAGGUCCUUUAGGUUUUAGGGCAGGAGGUGACACGAAAAACCUAUUUUAGAAAGAUUCUUCUGACAGCAACUGGAUGGACUGCAGAGAAUCAAGGGAAGUGAAAUACCAAGCAGCCAAAAGAAAACAACCGUGGGGGGGGCGGGGAGAGAAAUGUUCCAAGAAGUGAAUUUCGAGAAAGAAAACGACUGUAUGCUGAGUCCACCGUGGGUCCCGCUCACCCCCGCCCUCACGCGCAUCACUCAGGGAAGGGCCGGGGCCGGACCUGUGUGUGAGGCCAACGAGAGCAGGCCACGUACACGGCUCAUUUUAAAUCUUCCCCACGCUGAUGAAGGGCCUGCCGGGACUGUCCCCUCUUCCCCGGCACGGACACAACCCCUUCCCCUCCCCAACCCCUCAGGCUCAAACUCUCGAGUCCUCGUCUGGUCAUCCUUUGCUGUUCACCAUCGACACCUAGUUAACCACAAAAUCCCACCCGUUCCUCCCGUGAACUGAUCCUGAAUCCGGCACGGCUUUUUUGUGUCAGUGCUGCUACCAGCCUGAUCCUGGAGACCCAAACCCCUGGUCUGCCUGCCUUGGUUCUCGCCCCGCAAAGCCCCUCCACCUUCCGCUGCUAAGCUGACCUUCCGUGAACGUGUCCUCAUCCCCCGCCUGCACAGUUCUUUUUUUCAAAUUUUUAGAAUUAUUUUUGAGAGAGACAGAGAGAGAGAGAGCAAGUGGGGAGGGGAAGAGAGAAGAGGGACAGAGGAUCCAAAGCAGGCUUGUGCUGACAGCAGAGAGUCCUAUGUGGGGCUUGAACUCGCAAAUCGUGAGGUCAUGACCUGAGCCUAGGUCAGACGCCUAACAGACUGAGCCACGUGGGCGCCCCAAAAGCUCAAGUUCCAAUAUUUCUUCCACAACGAGACUUUCUUCUUCGGUGUGGAUUUCAAGCUCGGUGUGUUUCAUCUCCAACCUUGUUUGCUUUUACUCCCCACAGGGAUUUGUGCCCUGUCAGGCAAUUUUCCUCAUACUUCCCUUUCCCCAGCCUCCAGAAUGUUCUCUCCUUCCAGACACCUGGUUAGAUUCUAGAGCCAGAAAGACCUAGAUUCCAAUCCCAGCUCCAUCAUUUCUAGCUCAGCAUUGUGGGGUGGCUUUCUGAUGUUCACCAGUCUGGACUUAACUUUACCCGUGACAUGGGCACAAAAAUGCAUCAGCGGCAGCACAGACUUGCUGUGAGGAUUAAAUGGAACAAAAUAUAUGAAAAACCGUACUCGCACUGCCUAGCUCCAAGAACAUGCUUAAUAGCAAUGCCCUGCCCACAUACCAAUUUUUCCCGACUUGACUCAAGUCCUACCCCAAAUCUCAACCAUAAAACUGUCAAACAUUUCAACCUUCACUUACCACCUGUCUGAACACCAGCAUCACAUCAUGUAGCACCCGAUUUAGCACCUGGUCACACAGUCUGAUGCUGCUUCCUAAUUAUUUAACCUCUCUUAAUCUCUGUCAUCAGCGAGUUCAUUGAUGAUCAGGGCCAACUCCUGAUGUACAGAAGUUCUUCAAUCAGGACUUUAUGAUCAACUAACUGGUUGAUUAUGGCAACGACAGCACGAAUAGCCCAGAGAAACGUCCAAAAGCAGACUCGGAAGAAGAUACACUGAUGAUCUUAGAAAAAUUACACGCAGAGCAGUGGGCAAAAUAUUGCUCGACAGGACCUUCACCCGGCUUUCUUUGUGACUUUAUACCAAUUCACUGCUAUUUUUCCAUCUAAAGACAUUCAGGAGAAGAUAUGGUGUCUAACCAAAGGGAAGCAACACACAACAAGUUGAGUCUUAUAAGGCACCAUCAUAAACGCCAAUGACUAGACAAAAAUUUGAGAGAAGCUGAUUUUCCAGCAACACUGUUUCGUAAAUUUCAACGUUAAAAUUUUGCUAGGAGCCUGGA